CGGUCAGCGUCUCCUCCCGAUUCUCCUUCAUCCCUCCCGACGCGAUUCCCUCCACCUCCUUUCCGUGAGCUUCAACACGCGAGCGCGAAUCCAUCUACCUCCGUCUCGCCCGCCGAGCACGGCCGGGGCACUGUUGGCUGUGAGCACCCCGCCCCGGUGGCACUUAGAGUUCUGACGCCUCCACCGCACCGCGUGCCCUCCGGCCAGCGUGUCCUCCCGCCGCCUCCACCUUGACCGCGCUCGCCACCUCCGCCUCCUCUCCUAGCCCCACCGCAAACUCACCGCCACGCUCUGCUCCCUAUCUCUUGUCGCCGAGUCGGCCUCGUCGCCCACAGAUCUGAGAGAGAUCAAGGAAAUACACCAAGUAGCACCGGCGCCGUUGCCGCUACUACAGCCCCCACCGACCACCUCGUGCACCAACACAACCGCUCCCUCGCGGCGCUCCUCCUCUCAUGAUGCAUCUCGGCGGCGGGGGCGGCGGCGCAAUCCGCAUGCUGAACGUAGCGGAGAAGCCGUCGGUGGCGAAGUCCAUAGCGGAGAUCCUGUCGAGCGGGUCGGGCAGGGCGGUCCCCGUACAACCGCCUCUUCAAAUUUAAUUACGCCAUCGGCAGCCAGGCCUACCGCAUGCUUGUCACCUUCGUCAUGGGCCACCUCAUGGGGCUCGAAUUCGACGACCGAUUCCGUCGCUGGCACUCUUGUGACCCCGCUGACCUCUUCCAUGCCCCCGUCCGCAAGUACGUGCCCCAGGUGUGUCACCCGCUCUCUCUGUCCCGCCCGCGCAUUUCGCUGAACAGCUGGUGGGCGCGUCGUUGCGGCCUGCGUAUGGCGUCGUCUGGUGUCAGCUUUGAUUCGUUGUUGGUUUCUAGCGGUUGGGAUGGUGUCUCAUUGUCCGUAUCCAUAGUGUUGUGGCGCUUGGCACUUGUCAGUUUGUCCCCUCCGGCACACCUGCCACUACCGCCGCUGAGGACCUCGUCUUCGUUCGCGUCGCACAUGACGAUGAGCCUCGAUGCGACGCCUCGCGCUCUGCAGCGUUAGUGCCGAUGCCCACCACUGAGCCACACUGUCCUCAGCCGCGCUGCGCUGCGACGGAGGCUUGCUGUCUGCCUCGACCGCGUUCUGUGUUCACCACUCGAAACGGCCAGCGGCGGCGGCGAUGUGGCUUGCGCCAUGCGCGGGGCUGGCAAAGGCCUGUGUGAUGUGACAGACCUGGUGGACGCCUGCGGUGUGCUUUCUCUAAAAGGUAUACCCCUGCUUUAAAUAUGUUAUCCUUUUGCCUUACAGAAAAAAUCGUUAACAUUUAUGAACAGCAUCAGCAAACGCACAUAGCAGGCUAUGUACAUCAAAUGCUUGUGUUUGCCCUGUCAGAUUCCUUCCCUUUGUUCUAUCUAAUGAUGGCUGAUAGCUAGGAAAUCAUAUUUCUUUUACAUUAUCAAAUAUUAUGCAUCGAUAUAUAGCAUUCGUUUCUGAAAUCAGAGUACCUGUCAGUGAGACAAUGGAUAUGAUGAAACCAGAGCAUUCAUCUGAUGUCAUUCUUGCUUUUUUGAUGGUGUUUCUGCUUAGAAAAAUGGAAGCUUAGGAACGAGGCCCAAUUUGGAAAUAAGCACGAGUCCCACAGAAAGAAUGUAACAGUCAGACUGCCCACUGAAAGUAGGAAAAUGUAGAUUCAUUGGUUUUGACUCAUGACUCCUCAACUUUCAUUGUAUCACAAGCUGCUGAUCCAUUGCCACAAUCAAUGUUGAGUGCUUAGUGUGGACAGGAAGGCUACUGGUGCAACACCACCUUUGUCUAUGGUGCCCUAUUUUGUGAAAGUUGCAGAUCAAAAGGUAAUCCUCAUCUUAUACAGUGCAUGAGGAGCCAUAGUUUCAUUUCUUCUGUGACUGUGGCAGUGUGCUAUCUGAUGUUUGCUUCAUCUUACGCAAUGUAACUGUAGGUAUGCAAUCUCAUGUCCUGUACCUAUUGAAAUUCAUUUAUGGAUCAUUGCUUUGUGCUCAUCUCUGAUCUACAAAGAUUGGUUGUCACCUGUUCAUAUGUAUAUGAUGCUUUAGUUGUAAUUAAGGCAUCUGUACCUGCCACAAUCGGGUAUGUUCCCUAUUCAACGUUCUCUUUUGCAUGAUCUUCAUGAUAUAUAGCAAUGUGUCUACAGGUUGAUGGUGGUCUGGAUAUUAUCACCUACACCAGUUCACCAAAUUAGCUAUGCUGAUAAAUGAUCUUAAGUCAGUUAAAUUUGUGCCGCGCUGCUACCUUGGAAGGUGCAUGUAAUAUUUCAUAAACAUCUUUAUCCACCGGAAGUCAUACUCGGUGAGUUCUUCAUCAACUCAACCCUUGUAACAAUCUUGUUUGAUUUUGGAGCUUCGCAUUCAUUUGUUUCUUCAAAAUUUGCUGUACUUUAUAAGUUCUCAUAUGUGAUUCUUAAGAAUCCUAAGUUUAUUUAAUCCCCUGCAUGAAAUAUAUGGUGUCUCCUAAGAUGUCCCCGGGGUCAAACUCUAUUUAAGUGAGGUAGAGUUUCUGACAAACCUAAUUAUUCUGAAUUCUAAUGGAAUAGAUGUCAUUCUGAGAAUAGAUUGGUUAACUGAGAACGAAGGCAAUAGAAGAGAGCUUCAGAGAAGAUGAGGAAGCAGAUGCUGCAAACGCCGGAGGCGAAGGCGAGGAUGAAGAGUAUAUGUAGACAUCACGUUCGUACUCUAGCUGCUUGUGGCUUUGGGUUGUUGUUUUCCGUUGUGCUUUUGUUGGCCAUUAGGUCAAGUCUGUAAUGUGUUGUAUGGUUUGUAAACAUUUUAUGCUCUGAACCUUAAUACUUGUAUUCGAAGUUUGAAUGUGAUACUACAA